GCAGUGGUGGUUCAGUGGUAGAAUUCUUGCCUCCCAUGCAGGAGACGUGGGUUUGAUUCUUGGCCAAGGCA
rnacentral:tRNA from 1 species